GACGAACGCUGGCGGCGUGCUUCACACAUGCAAGUCGAACGGAAAGGCCCUGCGUUUGUGGGGUGCUCGAGUGGCGAACGGGUGAGUAACACGUGAGUAACCUGCCCUUGACUUUGGGAUAACUUCAGGAAACUGGGGCUAAUACCGGAUAGGAGCUCCUGCUGCAUGGUGGGGGUUGGAAAGUUUCGGCGGUUGGGGAUGGACUCGCGGCUUAUCAGCUUGUUGGUGGGGUAGUGGCUUACCAAGGCUUUGACGGGUAGCCGGCAUGAGAGGGUGACAGGCCACAUUGGGACUGGGAGACGGACAAGACUCCUACGGGAGGCAGCAGUGGGGAAUAUUGCACAAUGGGAGGAAGCAUGAUGCAGCAACGCCGCGUGCGGGAUGACGGCCUUCGGGUUGUAAACCGCUUUCGCCUGUGACGAAGCGUGAGUGACGGUAAUGGGUAAAGAAGCACCGGCUAACUACGUG
rnacentral:rRNA from 1 species